CGGGGUGAGUAAUGUCUGGGAAACUGCCUGAUGGAGGGGGAUAACUGCUGGAAACGGUAGCUAAUACCGCAUAACGUCGCAAGACCAAAGAGGGGGACCUUCGGGCCUCUUGCCAUCGGAUGUGCCCAGAUGGGAUUAGCUAGUAGGUGGGGUAACGGCUCACCUAGGCGACGAUCCCUAGCUGGUCUGAGAGGAUGACCAGCCGCACUGGAACUGAGACACGGUCCAG
rnacentral:rRNA from 1 species